AGUGAACGCUGGCGGUAGGCCUAACACAUGCAAGUCGAACGAGUGGCGGACGGGUGAGGAAUACAUGGGAAUCUACUCUAUCGUGGGGGAUAACGUAUGGAAACUUACGCUAAUACCGCAUACGAUUGAAUGUGCCGAUGUCGGAUUAGCUAGUUGGCGGGGUAAAGGCCCACCAAGGCGACGAUCCGUAGCUGGUCUGGGAGGAUGAUCAGCAAUGGUGGAAAGGAGAGACGGUCAAGACUACGACGGGAGGCAGCAGGGAGGAAUAUAGGACAAGGGGAGGAAGGAUGAUGCAGCGAUACGGCGUUGGUGAAGAAGGCCGGCGGGUAGUAAAGCCCUUUUGUUGGGAAAGCGGUAGCCAAAGAAUAAGCACCGGCUAACUUCGUGCCAGCCGCGGUAAUUC
rnacentral:rRNA from 1 species